UUUAAUAUUGUGAACGACACAAGCUCAACAUUGAGCAACCUCGCAAGCGAGGGUCUUUACUUCCGCACGGCGCUACAGCAAGGACCCUGAUGGCGGCUGGUCACGUGAACCCCUGAAAUUAGGUGUAAUUCGAACUGCCGCCUCUUUGCCACUUAGGGAGGAGUUGUAGGGGAUUUGCAACAAAAAGCCAGGAAUGGCCAAGAGCGAAAACGAAAACAUCUAUAACUAUGCCUAUGGAAACACUGCUAUUUAUGCUCUCUAUUAACCCAUAUUUUGGAUUUUGUCUGUUUUUGUGUUAUCUUUUAUGAAAUACUGUAUGUCACCGCAUGAAAGCUUUUUACACCUAUUUGUGAUAAUUUGCAAGGUUGGAGGUAUGUUUUACUACCUUGAAGUCUAACCGUUUAAUAUUUAUUAAUGCGAAGAAAAUAAAGGUCGAAUGCACACUUAUACAAAGUACAGUAUUAAAUAGCUCUCAACCUAAGGCACAGCGAAAGGAAACUCCAAAGAUUAUUUAUCUAAAAUCCGUUUUGGUUUCGGAAUGUCGCGUAACUUAGUGCGAUUUAAGUCACGCUGGUUGCUGGCUCACGAUUCAAGACACUUCACACGUGGGACUGUAUUUUUUGUAUAUAUUUAUUAAGUACAGAUAUUUACACUUGUUUAGUGCACGUCGUUUUACAAUGAUGUAAUUACAAUUACCCAACACGAUUCUCAACUCUCAAUUUGCGAUUCAAAAUAACACACACACAUAACGCGUUCAACACGACAAUAACCAAUACCAAUGACCAAACCCAAUAAUCAAUAAUACACUUUUUAGCCUAUAUUUAUAUUAACAGAACAGGAAUACAUAUUUUCUCUACCACAACUUCCCUUACGUAAAUGGAACACGUUUAUUGCUAUUUUGUUCCCUUUUUGUGGUUCUUAA